UACGAAGGGGGCUAGCGUUGCUCGGAAUCACUGGGCGUAAAGCGCACGUAGGCGGCCUCUUAAGUCGGUGGUGAAAUCCUGGAGCUCAACUCCAGAACUGCCUUCGAUACUGAGAGUCUCGAGUCCGAGAGAGGUGAGUGGAACUGCGAGUGUAGAGGUGAAAUUCGUAGAUAUUCGCAAGAACACCAGUGGCGAAGGCGGCUUACUGGUCCGGAACUGACGCUGAGGUGCGAAAGCGUGGGGAGCAAACAGG
rnacentral:rRNA from 1 species